AUUACGGAACAAUUCUCACGUCAUAUCCGCUACCUCAAGGCUAAUCGCUACUUGGUUCUUUCGUAACAGAAAGAUUUAAUGAACGCCCAGAUGGUUUGACCACCAAUGUCUCUCCCCCCUCAACCUGGAAUACGCGGAAGAUGAGGCCGAGACCCAGGAGCCAAGUUCCGCGAGAAGUUGGGAACAUUUUCAAAGACGAAAAAGUUCACCUUGAUAGGGUCGUUGUGGGUGCCUUGUCCGCUUCUCUUAUCUGAAAGCCACCCAAAGUGAAGUGGUGAGCGCAGUAGACGUUCGUUCUCGUUCGUCUUCUUAUUCUCAUUC